CCCAUUCGAUGUCGACAGAGUUUGAUCCUGGCUCAGGAUGAACGCUGCGGCGUGCUUAACACAUGCAAGUCGAACGAUGACCUGGUGCUUGCACUGGUGAUUAGUGGCGAACGGGUGAGUAACACGUGAGUAACCUGCCCUUAACUCUGGGAUAAGCCUGGGAAACUGGGUCUAAUACCGGAUAUGACUCCUCAUCGCAUGGUGGGGGGUGGAAAGCUUUUUUGUGGUUUUGGAUGGACUCGCGGCCUAUCAGCUUGUUGGUGAGGUAAUGGCUCACCAAGGCGACGACGGGUAGCCGGCCUGAGAGGGUGACCGGCCACACUGGGACUGAGACACGGCCCANACUCCUACGGGAGGCAGCAGUGGGGAAUAUUGCACAAUGGGCGAAAGCCUGAUGCAGCGACGCCGCGUGAGGGAUGACGGCCUUCGGGUUGUAAACCUCUUUCAGUAGGGAAGAAGCGAAAGUGACGGUACCUGCAGAAGAAGCGCCGGCUAACUACGUGCCAGCAGCCGCGGUAAUACGUAGGGCGCAAGCGUUAUCCGGAAUUAUUGGGCCGUAAAGAGCUCGUAGGCCGGUUGUCGCGUCUGCCGUGAAAGUCCGGGCUCAACUUCNGAUCUGCGGUGGGUACCGGCAGACUANAAUGAUGUAGGGGAAACUGGAAUUCCUGGUGUACCGGUGAAAUGCCCC
rnacentral:rRNA from 1 species